CGCUCGAGCAGCUGCAGCCGCCCUCAAGUCCUGAUAGGGAGCCAUUCAUUACAAACAGAAACACAGCGUCAACACUGCUAACAUGGCAGACAAGAAACAGACCGUGGACCUGGGCUUACUGGAGGAGGAUGAUGAGUUUGAAGAAUUCCCAGCCGAGGAUUGGACCGGGCUGGAGGAAGAUGAAGAUGCUCAUGUUUGGGAAGACAACUGGGAUGAUGACAACGUAGAGGAUGAUUUCUCAAAUCAACUGAGAGCUGAGCUGGAAAAACAUGGUUACAAGAUGGAGACGUCUUAGCGGCUGACGAGGCCUUCGAUAUUGGACGACAUUGAAUAUGGACAUUUAUAUUUGAAUAUUACUGAUUGACCCCACACCAUCGGAGGAGAUUUGAGGGAUUGUUAAUUUGUUUCUUUUUUUGUAAGAAAUAUUAAUGGAAGUAAAGUGUUUGGAGAAAAC